rnacentral:rRNA from 1 species
UCGCUGGAAGAGGGGGUCGCGGCUGAUUAGCUAGUUGGCGGGGUAACGGCCCACCAAGGCUUAGAUCGGUAGCCGGCCUGAGAGGGCGCACGGCCACACUGGAACUGAAACACGGUCCAG